UGGGGAAUAUUGCACAAUGGAGGGAACUCUGAUGCAGCGACGCCGCGUGAACGAAGAAGGCUUUCGAGUCGUAAAGUUCUUUUAUAUGGGGAGAUAAUGACGGUACCAUAAGAAAAAGCCCCGGCUAACUACGUGCCAGCAGCCGCGGUAAUACGUAGGGGGCUAGCGUUGUCCGGAAUCACUGGGCGUAAAGGGUUCGCAGGCGGAAAUGCAAGUCAGGUGUAAAAGGCAGUAGCUUAACUACUGUAAGCAUUUGAAACUGCAUAUCUUGAGAAGAGUAGAGGUAAGUGGAAUUUUUAGUGUAGCGGUGAAAUGCGUAGAUAUUAAAAAGAAUACCGGUGGCGAAGGCGGCUUACUGGGCUCAUUCUGACGCUGAGGAACGAAAGCGUGGGUAGCAAACAGG
rnacentral:rRNA from 1 species